rnacentral:rRNA from 1 species
AAGUCGUAACAAGGUUUCCGUAGGUGAACCUGCGGAAGGAUCAUUAAAGAAUGCCCCGUUUUUUGAAAUGGGUUCUGUUCCCAAACCGUGUAUACAUACUUUUGUUGCUUUGGCAGGCCGCCUUCGGGCGUCGGCUCACGCUGACAGCGCCUGCCAGAGGACCCAAACUCGUUUGUUUAGUGAUGUCUGAGUACUAUAUAAUAGUUUAAAACUUUCAACAACGGAUCUCUUGGUUCUGGCAUCGAUGAAGAACGCAGCGAAAUGCGAUAAGUAAUGUGAAUUGCAGAAUUCAGUGAAUCAUCGAAUCUUUGAACGCACAUUGCGCCCCUUGGUAUUCCGAGGGGCAUGCCUGUUCGGGCGUCAUUAUGACCACUCAAGCCUAGCUUGGUAUUGGGGUUCGCGGUCCCGCGGCCCUUAAAAUCAGUGGCGGUGCCAUCUGGCUCUAAGCGUAGUAAUUUAUCUCGCUAUUGGGUCCGGUGGUUGCUUGCCAACAACCCCUAACUUUUAAGGUUGACCUCGGAUCAGGUAGGGAUACCCGCUGAACUUAA